CUAAAUAUAUUCAAAUGUUCUCUAUUAUUAAACAAAAGAAUUACACAAAAGAGUGAUGUUAUGAAAUCAAGAUUAGAACCUAAGUUACUCUCAUAGUAGUAGUUUCAGAUGAGUUUGGGGGGCACUGCAGAGGUGAAAAUUAUGUGGAUGUAAUUGUCUUUUUUUUUUCCCUUUUUUCAUUCUCUCAGUUUCCCUAAUGCAUGAGGCUCCUGACCACCAUAAAGAAAGCUAGAGCUGGGGCAUUAUGCUUGUCACUUCUGAAGCUGACGGAAUGGUAUUUAUUGCUUCCACUGAAGUGUGAGACUCUCAGGAUUGCCUUUUGAAUCAGUUCUUCAUUUAGUUAGGAGAGCUUUUAAGUCUUGAGUAUUCAAAAUGUACCAUGACUGCCAGUGCUGAUUUAACAUUCAGGUGAAGGUAAAACAAGUUUUGAAGGAACGAUCAUUCAGCAAGAUCAAAAAGUCCACUCUUUCAUCUUCUCCAGUCCCCCAGUUCCAUUAGAGUUGUAAAGGUGAAAAAUGGUCCUAUAUUUGCCUGCCUGUUUGUUAGGAGGACCGUAUGGGCUAUGGUCACAUGUGUCUUGGGAAAUGAUGAGCAAGUGGUUCAGCUUCAUAGUGGUCCUGAACAAUUUAACUUUGACUCUAAGGCAAAAUUUUGCAAACAAGGCAAUACUUUCUUUUCUGUGUUCUCUUUUUUUGCUUUCUAGAAGGGAAUAGAAUUCAAAUAAAAUGUGAAUUGAACAUGUCUUAAAAAGUUUUUUUUAAUGAAAAAUUAGAGUAUUAACUUCUAGUAGAUAAUAUAAACCAUAAAGAGGAAAUAAAGCUAUGUCUAUGAAAAGAAAAACUCCAUUCUGAAAAUGACAAAACCAAAGCU
rnacentral:lncRNA from 1 species